rnacentral:rRNA from 1 species
CAGCCGCCGCGGGAAUACGAAGGGUGCAAGCGUUAAUCGGAAUUACUGGGCGUAAAGCGUGCGUAGGCGGUGAGUUAAGUCUGCUGUGAAAUCCCCGGGCUCAACCUGGGGAUGGCAGUGGAUACUGGCUCGCUAGAGUGUGUCAGAGGAUGGUGGAAUUCCCGGUGUAGCGGUGAAAUGCGUAGAGAUCGGGAGGAACAUCAGUGGCGAAGGCGGCCAUCUGGGACAACACUGACGCUGAGGCACGAAAGCGUGGGGAGCAAACAGGAUUAGAUACCCGAGUAGUCCCUGUCUCUUAUAA